UUUGUACUUAAAGGGCCAGAAUACUGGCAGUGGAGUCACUCCAGUUUUACACUGGUGUAACUGAAAGCAGAAAUUGUCUCCGGAUUGUGUAAUGAUUUUUCAGAAAGCAAGGCACUGGCUGGAAACUUCUCCCAGGCUGUUCCUCCCAUGUGACUCAACCGAGACCUGCAGGGACUGAACUCCGGGGCUGAGGCAUGCUGGUCAUUUAUACGGACAGAUAAUCCGACAAAAGACUCCCAUCGCUCACACUGAAAGAGUUAAUUUCUGUGACCCAAAUAUUGAGACUCAUUUUAAAUUUGCUGGAAAUUGCUUUUUAAUCCUAGCUCUCGAGGAUUUCCUUUGAAACCAUCUGCUGUGCACCCUGGGUACCCUAUUUCUGCAUGCAGAAUUACUACACUAUAGACCUUCUUUUGUGUACCCAAUACUUUUCGGCACACUUGUGAAAUAAA